rnacentral:lncRNA from 1 species
GAGCCAUAAAAGAAAAUCACUGCAGUGAGAUCUUCCAGGUUUUGGAGCAGAGAGGCUGAAGAAAAGAUUUAAAUAACAAGAAAACCUGGAGUUGAGCAGCACCUAAAGAUCAGUGAGCAGCUCCAACAUGAUUGUACAGAAGAGCUAACAGGCACUGGAAGUCUAGAGAACAGGCAGAGAUACCCCCUGCACUGUGUAAAAUUAUGAAAAAUGUAUCCAUGAGGUCCUGCUAUCGCAGUGGUAGAAGACUCAAGCCAGGACUUUUAGAGCUUGUAGGUGCUGAGGUAAUCAGGAAUGCUUUCACCAAUAUUCCAGUCCUCUGUCUGAGCACACGGUGAGACGGAACUUCUCAGCUGCCUCAAAGGAUGAAGGAGGAGGCUCCCUCAGCCUGGUUAUCUGGGUGGAGAUGAUACAGAGCAAAGCCCUUCCUCCAAGCCCAUCUAGAGAGGACAUGUCAUAACAAUUUUAUGGAGCCAGGUGGAGGAGCCAA